UACGUAGGGUGCAAGCGUUGUCCGGAAUUAUUGGGCGUAAAGAGCUCGUAGGCGGUCUGUCGCGUCUGCUGUGAAAACUCAGGGCUUAACCCUGAGCUUGCAGUGGGUACGGGCAGACUAGAGUGCGGUAGGGGAGACUGGAAUUCCUGGUGUAGCGGUGGAAUGCGCAGAUAUCAGGAGGAACACCGGUGGCGAAGGCGGGUCUCUGGGCCGUAACUGACGCUGAGGAGCGAAAGCGUGGGGAGCGAACAGG
rnacentral:rRNA from 1 species